GAAGAAGAGGAAGAAGAAGAAGGAGAAGAGAAGAGGAGAAGAAGAGGAAGGAGGAAGGAGCUGCUGUCCGAAUGCUCCUGCUGCCCUAUGGUUCUCUGCUGCUACAGAACAGAGAGAGAUGCAUGCAAGUGGGGCUGCAUCCACCUACUGUCCAUCUGAUGCUGAGCAACGAACUGCAAUCUGGGAUGAUUUCUGCUGAACCAUAGAAGAUACUGUUCCUAGUUUCUUUAUAGCUGUUGUACACACAUCUGAAGGUGUCUCCAGAGGCUUACGCUGAGAUUAGGAGGAUGCACCAGAGUUUAUGUGAGGUGGUGCUUGAUAAGGAAGGAGAGAACACUGCCUUAAGGAGCCAAGUCAACUCUUACUAACAAGAGAAUGCCCGACAGCACACGCAGAUUCGAGAUCUCACUAAGAGGUUGGUGAGCUCAGGAUCGGCACCUACUAGCUCUUCGAUGUUCCAUGAGGAUAAUGCCGAGUAUGGCUCAAACAAGGAUUUUGACUCUUAGGGAUCUGUUCUUGUAGUUCCUACAAACACAAGCAUAUGUAUGUCUAUUUUCCUUUUUCUUUUUCCCUCCCCAUGUUUGUUCCUCUUUCUUUUUUCUUUUUUAUUUCUUUUUUAUCAUUU